UAAUUAUUAAGUGUACCCAACCCCAAGCGACACCACUCGCCAAAAAAAUCCUUUCCCCUCCCACCGACAACCCCGAUUGAUCACGUUUCGGCUCCGGCCGGCAGAUCCCGGCCAUCUCCACCGGCGGUAGCUCCUCCCUGCCGGAGCCGGGCCAGCAGCGCCCCAGUUCCCUUCCUCCCCGGCGCACCCCAGAACGGGGGAGAAAAGGCGGCGCGGCUGGCUUGCUUGCCGGCGCCGGCGUGCAUCUUCAGGUCGGUGCGCGCGGCCCCGGCGAGCUCGCUGGCCGCCGUCCCCUGCGUGGCCGAGAAAUUGCGGUGCAUCUGAAGCACCCAGGUGAGUGGGCUACCGGCCUCCAUGGCGGCGCGUCCGUUUCAGUGGCCGGCAGGAGGACGGCUGGAGCUCGCCGCGGCGCAGGCAGGGAGGCGCGGACGAGCUGCUGCUGCUGCCUAAGUCGACCCGGUGCUCCUCCCUGAGCUGUUGGCGGCCGCAACCUCCACGACAACCUGCUGCCUAACAUGUCACACGCGUGGACAGGCGCUGAUGCAGCAUGCCGUUGACUGGGCGUCAGACACCAAGAUGCAUUGCAAGGGACCCACAAAGGGACAGUGGCGUAUUAUCUGGUCUGGCGGCCACCCGUUGCUGUUCCUUUUGGAUCAAUCGACGAGCAGGUGAGCGAAAUCGAGCUGCAGAGCAGGUCGUUCUGGUAUGGUGCCCUAGCCGCCCGGGUUCACCGCCGACGACAUGUCGCCGGUGCUGCCAUUCUGCUCGGCCAGGACUCGAGCAUUUGCGAGAAAUUCAUUGCUGUGCUACACUCUCCUUUGAUGAAGUCAUGUUUAAUCUGGUGUUAUGGUCGGGAUUUGUUCUGCUGCUAUCUUAUGGUUUUGUCUAAAGCGUGAUUUUGCGGAUACAUGUCAAGUUUGUAUCCUUGCUUGUUUACAGGACCUGUAGGUUUGCAUUUAAUUAAUUAGGAAAUGUGGUUGUAAUAGUAUUUAUGCUGACUUAUUCUUUUAAGUAGCCUGGGAUAGUUGUUUAUAUUUGUCAGGCAUGUAUUGCUGGGAGUAGAUUUAUGUAUUGGUGAAGAACAUGUGAAUAUUCAUUGAAACCACUUGGUGGAAAACAAUUUAUUACCUACAAUGCUUGGAAUUAUCUAGUGUAUAAGGAAACAAAGUACUACCCUUUUUAAUCUGGGAUUAUCUGUUAUAAAUGUACACGUUUGAGCUCCACAUUGCCGAAUCUUACUAUUCUUAGUUUCGCUAGUACUGUCUAUUUAUGGUUCAGUGUCAUAUACAUAUUUUACUAUCUUGUUUCCUGGGUUAUUUUUCUUUUGUUUCUUGAUUAGAUUGAUGCACAUGUUGGUGGUGUAAAUGAUAUUGCAUUCGCCCAUCCAAAUAAGCAGCUAUGUAUAAUUACCUGUGCAGAUGAUAAGACGAUAAAGGUAUGGGAGGACACUAGUGUACCUUUUUGAAGGUCAUGAAGCUCAUGUUUAUUCAGUUGGUCCACAUUAUAAGGAAAAUAUUCAGUUCAUCUUAUCAACUGCUUUGGAUGGAAAGAUAGAGGUUUGUGGAAGUUUAUGGAGAUAGCUUAUACAAACCAGUGCAGAACUAGCUGAUAAUCAUGGGACAACUAAGGAGUUGGUGAAAAUGUACUCUAAGUACAUCUAUUUCCCCCUUUAAGGAGGUUGAUGUUGAAGUGCCGGCUCACGAGAAGUAAUCAAGUGAAGAAGAAGAUGCAUCCACAAAUACUAGAGGAAGUAAAGACAUAAGAUGGUGAAGAUAAAAAUCCCAAGAGCAUGCGGGUACUUUGUGAAGAUCUUCGCAUGCUCUCAUACUUCCAUUUCGGUGAACUCUCGGAUUAGGAUGAAGAAGUGGAGCUGUAGCUGGCCAGGAGGGAGCCAUGGUCGCUGAAUCUGGCGUGUCCGACGGUUAUAGCAUUCAUAAGGGAUCCAUGUCCGCCAAACCGGCGUAACUCUAGGACAAAGAAGUGGAGCUGCAGCUGGCCAGUAGAGAGCCAUGGCCGCUGGAUCCGGCGUGACCCAAUCAUUCUAGCAUUGAAGGAAUCCAUGUCCGUUGGGCCAGCGUAACUCUAGGUGAUGGAUGGAUGAGCCAAUCUUCUUGGAACUGGGGACGUGACGCUGCAGUGGUACACGUACUGUUGGUCUGUUGCGGCUGGCGCUCGUGAAGGUGAGAGGUGGAUGUAGCCCUAGUGAUGUGGCGGCAGCGACAAGGGAGGAGAGGAGCUGGAGCUGACCAGGCGAUGUCGGUGAGUUCACCACAGCUGGUUUCUCUACUUCAUCUUCAUGGUUUAGGCAUGGAGAUGUAUCAGACCUUCUGUGUUGAAAAUACCAGCAAUGGAGUUCUAGGAUAUGCUGGGUGGCAUUGCUUUGUUGACUGGGUGUCAUAUGCUUCUCACUUGGAUUUCCUUGCACCGGUGGCUGGCGUUCAUGUGCUUUUUAUUAUCUUUCAUAGUGCCCUCGGUGAGGCAAAGAAGGAUGACAAGGCGGAACAACCAGAAGCUAUCCACUGAGAUGUUGACUGACAAGUUCCCCAAGCUCUAGAUCGACCUGGUCUUCCAGAAGGAGUUUGAGCUGUCACACACCUCCAAGUCCUCCAUCCUCUUCUCUGGGUACAAGUUCUUCCAGACGGCUGACAGAGAUGCGAUGGAUUUUGACUCUGAAGAAGAAUCUCAAGGUGAAGGGGGUGAAGAGAAGAUCGUUCCAGUCAUGAAGGAAAAUGGUACUUCUUCGUCCCUAUGGUUUAGGUGAAGUUCUGCUUCUGCCCUUCUCUCCUAUAUGUGCCCUAUGACAUGAUGGAAAUUGAGCCUUGGUUAUUCUGUGCUCCGACCGUCGAGCCAAUGGUGAUCUACUUAUUAAGGAAUCUACCUUACAACAUAGUUCGAUUUCUACUGGUGUAGCCAUGCUGGCAUUCAGGUUGGCUUUAUGUUAUUUGCAAUUCUUAAUAGUUGACGCGCACCGUUGAAAGGCAAUUCCCAGGCUUAAGCAUUGCUGAAUUGCUGCCAAGCUGUAGUAAUACAUUGCCAGUUUGCUUGAGGCCGGGUGGUAGCUGGAGCUAUGUCUUCCAGCGGUAAGAUUGUCCUUGCAAGUGGCAUGUUGCUUACUUCAAUUGAGAAGCUUGGACUUGACUUGCAAGUUGUUUGUAAUAUUCAUGUUCUUAAAACUGCAUUUCUUUUAUGAUCAGACUAGCUGAAGUCUGCAUUGUAAAUGUGGCAGGAGAUGGUGAUGUAUGUGCUUUGUCCUACUUGAUAUAUGUUUGACUUGAAUGUGCUGAAGGAAUA